rnacentral:rRNA from 1 species
CGUGUAGGCGGGAAGGUAAGUCAGAUGUGAAAUUCCAGGGCUCAACUCUGGCGCUGCAUCUGAAACUAUCUUUCUUGAGUGAUGGAGAGGAAAGUGGAAUUCCUAGUGUAGCGGUGAAAUGCGUAGAUAUUAGGAGGAACACCAGUGGCGAAGGCGACUUUCUGGACAUUAACUGACGCUGAGGCGCGAAAGCGUGGGGAGCAAACAGGAUUAGAUACCCUGGUAGUCCACGCUGUAAACGAUGGAUACUAGGUGUAGGGGGUAUCGACCCCCCCUGUGCCGGAGUUAACACAACAAGUAUCCCACCUGGGGAGUACGGCCGCAAGGUUGA